UACGGAGGGUGCGAGCGUUGUCCGGAAUCACUGGGCGUAAAGGGCGCGUAGGUGGCGCGGGCAGUCAACGGUGAAAGUUCGGGGCUCAACCCUGAAUCGGCCGUCGAUACUCCCGUGCUUGAGCACUGUAGAGGCAGAUGGAAUUCCGGGUGUAGCGGUGGAAUGCGUAGAGAUCCGGAAGAACACCGGUGGCGAAGGCGGCAUCCUGGACCGACAUUGACGCUGAUGAGCGAAAGCUAGGGGAGCAAACAGG
rnacentral:rRNA from 1 species